AUGCAUUGUGUUGAUUCUUACAAGAUAAACAUUCUUUCUGGAGCUGUUCUGGAAGGACAUUUCACCUGGAACAAGAAAAUCAGGAUCAGAAGAGAGAUCCCACAAAGGUUCCUUAAUGCUGCUUGGAGGCUGAUCUCUGCUCUCAUCCCUCCAUUCCAGUGCCAAAGUCAGUGGGCAGUGCUGGGGACCACCUACUCUCCCUUCUGGUGCUCCAACUGGAUCACUAGCACCAGGUUUUUGAGCAGCUGCACCACGAGCCCAGAGUGCUCAGGUUGGCUGGAGAUCCUGCACUGUAAGGCAAGCUGAAUCCCUCUCCCUGUUUUUGUGCUGGCUGUGGCCAUGUUAAGCAUCAACAGAUGAAAAGGUCAUUUUUUUAUGUAUUGGUCUCUGUGUCUUCCAGGUCUUCUGCUGUUUCUGGGGUUGAGAAAGGAACAUCCAGCUAUCAAGUCAGUGCCCCAUCUUGAAUUUUUAUAUAUCCCUCUUCAUCUUAUAAUGUACAAUAACUGUACACCUGGAGGUGUAUCUCAGUGUGGUCAGUACAUCCAGCUGGGCACAGUGCUGAGCAAAGACUGUAUCUCCUCUCCCUAGGAAGUCAGACCCUACUGACAGCUACCAUCAGCUGCACACAAAGUCCCCAAAUAUCUUGGUGUCUCCUUUGCCCAAGCAUGAGAUCAUUACCUGUUGUGUGAGGGUAAGUUGGGUGUCUUAGUGAAGAAAAGCCCACAGGACCAGACUUCAAUAAAGAGGUGAGAUUCUACGUGACUUUUAAGUGU
rnacentral:lncRNA from 1 species